rnacentral:rRNA from 1 species
GAUGAACGCUAGCGGGAGGCCUAACACAUGCAAGCCGAGCGGUAGAGUUUCUUCGGAAACUUGAGAGCGGCGCACGGGUGCGUAACACGUGUGCAACCUACCUUUAUCUGGGGGAUAGCCUUUCGAAAGGAAGAUUAAUACCCCAUAAUAUAAUGAUUGGCAUCAAUUAUUAUUGAAAACUCCGGUGGAUAGAGAUGGGCACGCGCAAGAUUAGAUAGUUGGUGAGGUAACGGCUCACCAAGUCAAUGAUCUUUAGGGGUCCUGAGAGGGAGAUCCCCCACACUGGUACUGAGACACGGACCAGACGCCUACGGGAGGCAGCAGUGAGGAAUAUUGGACAAUGGGUGAGAGCCUGAUCCAGCCAUCCCGCGUGAAGGAUGACGGUCCUAUGGAUUGUAAACUUCUUUUGUACAGGGAUAAACCUACCCUCGUGAGGGUAGCUGAAGGUACUGUACGAAUAAGCACCGGCUAACUCCGUG